CCUACGGGAGGCUGCAGUAAGGAAUAUUGGUCAAUGGACGAAAGUCUGAACCAGCCAUGCCGCGUGGAGGAUGAAGGUCCUCUGGAUUGUAAACUUCUUUUAUAUGGGACGAAAAAAGGCCUUUCUAGGCCGUCUGACGGUACCAUAUGAAUAAGCACCGGCUAACUCCGUGCCAGCAGCCGCGGUAAUACGGAGGGUGCAAGCGUUAUCCGGAUACACUGGGUUUAAAGGGUGUGAUAAUGGGUUGAUGAAAUCUCCGAGCGUAACUUGGAAACGGCCAUUGAUACUAUUAAUCUUGAAUAUUGUGGAGGUUAGCGGAAUAUGUCAUGUAGCGGUGAAAUGCUUAGAGAUGACAUAGAACACCAAUUGCGAAGGCAGCUGGCUACACAUAUAUUGACACUGAGGCACGAAAGCGUGGGGAUCAAACAGGAUUAGAUACCCGAGUAGUC
rnacentral:rRNA from 1 species